UACGUAGGUGGCAAGCGUUGUCCGGAAUUACUGGGCGUAAAGGGUGCGUAGGCGGCGCGGUAAGUCGGGUGUGAAAUCUCGGAGCUUAACUCCGAAACUGCAUUCGAUACUGCCGUGCUUGAGGACUGGAGAGGAGACUGGAAUUUACGGUGUAGCGGUGAAAUGCGUAGAUAUCGUAAGGAAGACCAGUGGAGAAGGCGGGUCUCUGGACAGUUCCUGACACUGAGACACGAAGGCCAGGGGAGCAAACGGG
rnacentral:rRNA from 1 species